AGUAUAGUGCCUGAUAAAAAGGAUAGCUUUGAUAGAGCUAAUCAUGUAAUUUACUUUUACCUAUACUA
rnacentral:tRNA from 1 species